CAGAACAUGAUCUCUUAUUUAGUCUUAUCUUCAUGUGUUUAUUGUGAUUAUUACUAAAUCAAGAUGCGACUUGAUAUUACAUUACCGUAUAUUGACGUGUUUUGAAGUAUAUUUUACAUUUAAAUCUAGCAUAUGGGUAAGCCUAUUUCAGCUAAAAACAUACCAAAGUAUAUUUAUAUUUUUUAACCUUCCGAAAGUGCAGUAAAAUAAGUAAAUGUUUCAUUAUCGAUUUCAGUCACUCUUGUCUUUUAUUGAAUACUUUGUUGAACUUGGAGCAGGGCGCCAAUAUUUGAAUUCGGUGGUUGCUCACUGAUGGCAGAUCUGUUUGACCUCAAAAUUAUUUCACAAGAGUUUUAUGUACUUUGUAGUGUGCGGGUUAUGAUAUUCUAGAUUUUGCAGGGCAUAGGAACAUAUUUAAGAUGAUUAGUUAUCAUUGUUGGCUGAUUAUCUCCAGUAAGUUUGUGUUUCUUUCCAGAAACGUUCUGAUAAGUUUAAACAGUAAAAUUACCACCAUAUGUUUAAAUGAAGCUGUGUUAAAACCGUGUCCUAACCAAACACGAUGCGACACGUAAUAAAAGGUGUCUUUUCUAUGUAAACCAAAGGUUUUGUGCUAACCAGCUUCAAUAGCGCUGCGUGACGAACAACUACUUUAGAAACGGGACCCAUAAUAUCUCUCUUCUGCUGCAGCGUGCGAGGCUGUGUGGACAGAGACAAACUCUUCUGAUUAGCUGUGUCUUCUGAUUGAUUGACGCGUCCCGCCCCUUUUUUGCGUUCGGUAUGGACAAACAAAUUGCUUAUAGCAGUCGCGUUUAGUUAGGAUGCGGUGAACCUAUUACUGUAAUAUAUAUCAUAUUAUUACUGCUAUGCUGUUAUUAAAUUUCCUGAAGAUAACACUGUUGAUGUUGUGCCUUCCACCUGGCUUGAUAUAACAAUAGAGGUAUUACCUAUUAUUCUCAUCUUAUGCUUCAAACUUUUAUUGUUCUAUGUGUAUCAUUAGUCUAUUAGUAUAUUGCUAUUGGCCAUGUAAAAACUUUACGGCCAAGGUGAAACGAAGAGAUAGACCUGAUACUACACUUAGGUCGAAGCAUGUUGCAUCUGUUCUGGUAUAUGCAGGUAUGAAGAAUUAGUUUGAGGUUUCUUAUGUUUUUGUGGUUUAUGCUGAUUGUCUUUUACUGAUCUAUUCUUUAUUUCCAGACAGCUAUGAAGAAGCUAGGUGCAAAGCAAACCAGACAACCAUGAUCAAACUUGGAGAGUGACGAAGAUGAAAGUCAUAUUCAAAGAAAAAGAAGACCACCGGCACGAUACCAGAGAGCAUUAGCUAGUGAUGAUGAUGUUGAUGUCCAAUGACCAUAAUUGCCAGCAGACCCACGUUUGAGGAAAGACCAUCAGCACCAAGGACAUGCAUUCCAAGCACACCUAUAUUCACACCAUGAACCGAGUUUUUUAGUGACAGACAUGGACAAACAGAGCCUUGUGUUUUUGAAAGUACCUUACAAACAGAGAAUUGCACUGCUUCAACAUCUGAAAUGGAAGAACUUUAUCAAGGUCCAUUAUCUAAGCCUUCUUGGGAGAAAAACUCCAGGUGAUGCUGUGAGGAGAGUUUUACAAACAAUUGCAACUAACAAUGUGUGGGCUCAGUAUAGCAUGAAGGGUCGAAAGGGAAAGAAACGCAUUGAAGACCUGGAAAUUUGCAGUGUUAUUACUCGUGGAGAAUGAGGAGACAGAAGACAGGUGUACACAGGAGUCCAGUCAACAAACAGAUUACAAUUGUAGCAUCCUAAAAAUAUACGUUUUAAUGUUUUUCUUUUAAAUUGCUGAUACAUGUUCCAUUCCAUUUUCUACCGCUUAUCCGAACUACCUUGGAUCACGGGGAGCCUGCGCCUAUCUCAGGAGUCAUCGGGCAUCAAGGCAGGAUACACCCUGGAUGGAGUGCCAACCCAUCGCAGGGCACACACACUCACUCAUUCACUCACGCACACCCUACGGACAAUUUUCCAGAGAUGCCAAUCAACCUACCAUGCAUGUCUUUGGACCAGGGGAGGAAACCGGAGUACCCGGAGGAAACCCCCGAGGCACGGGGAGAACAUGCAAACUCCACACACACAAGUCGGAAGCGUGAAUCGAACCCCCAACCCUGGAGGUGUGAGGCGAACGUGCUAACCACUAAGCCACCGUGCCCCCCGACCUGAUAAAUGUUUAAUAAUUAAAUAUGUUUUAAUGUUUAAUUUGCUUAUACCUUAGUUACUUAAAUGUUUCAUGUCACUUUUGAAUACUAACCUAUUAAAAAAUAAUGU